UACAGAGGUCUCGAGCGUUAGGCGGAAUCACUGGGCUUAAAGCGUGUGUAGGUGGAUGCCUAAGUACCUUGUGAAAUCCCACAGCUUAACUGUGGAACUGCUUGGUAUACUGCCAGUCUUGAGCCAGCUAGGGGCUACCGGAACAAAUGGUGGAGCGGUGAAAUGCGUAGAUAUCAUUUGGAACGCCAAUGGUGAAAACAGGUAGCUGGGGCUGUGCUGACACUGAGACACGAAAGCCAGGGGAGCGAACGGG
rnacentral:rRNA from 1 species